UAGCGUAGGGGGCAAGCGUUUGUGCCGGAAAGUUAUUGGGCGUAAAGAGCGCGUAGGCGGUCCGAUAAGUCGGCUGUGGAAAGUCAGGGGCUCAACCCUUGGAUGCCGGCCGGAUACUGUCGGGAACUAGAGUCCGGAAGAGGCAAGUGGAAUUCCCGGUGUAGCGGUGAAAUGCGCAGGAUAUCGGGAGGAACACCAAUUGCGAAGGCAGCUUGGCUGGGACGGUACUGACGCUGAGGCGGCGGAAAAGCGUGGGGGAGCAAACAGG
rnacentral:rRNA from 1 species